GAUUGAAAAAGACGACAGCAGUUGUUGCAACAGAACAAGGCAUCUUGGCCAGGGAAGUGAUAGAGGCAAGUGAAGUCAAUUUGCCCCGAAGAGCUCCUCCCGUUGUUCAGGCCAGGACACCUCCCCCACUACCUCCCCCAGUGGUGGUUGUAG